CAGGCGGUGGCGGCGGUGGCGACGGCCGCACGGCUGCGGCCUCCCUCGGAGAAGCUCCGGUCGCGAGGAUGAAGGGCGGGGCCGCCUCCCGGUUGUUGUUGGAUUGUACAACUAGAAUUGCAAGUUUAUAUCAACUGGCCCUCCAGCCUAAGAAGCGAGAGGAAGAUACUAAUAACGGAGAGGCUCACAGUGAGGAACAACAUUUUACUUAUCCGCAUCCUAAACACCUGGAUUAGAUUGACUUAUCUUUGUUCAAAAAUUAGUAAAAGGAAAAUACUGAUAUGGCAGCUAAGAAAAUAAUUUAUAGUUAAGAGAUGGAGAAUUGAGAUAUAGAAGGGGAGAAUUAUUUGGAAAAAAAGUUUAUUCAAGAAGGAGA
rnacentral:lncRNA from 1 species